GACGAACCGUGCAAACGUUGUUCGGAAUCACUGGGCUUAAAGGGCGCGUAGGCGGGCCAGCCAGUCUGUGGUGAAAGCCUCCAGCUUAACUGGAGAAGUGCCGUGGAUACUGCUGGCCUCGAGGAGGAUAGGAGCAUCUGGAACGGUCGGUGGAGCGGUGAAAUGCGUUGAUAUCGACCGGAACUCCGGUGGCGAAGGCGAGGUGCUGGGUCCUUUCUGACGCUGAUGCGCGAAAGCCAGGGGAGCAAACGGG
rnacentral:rRNA from 1 species